CCCCGACCCACGAAACAAAAAGAGCAGGUCAACCCCGGCCCACGACCUCGACCUCCUUCCUCCACCCACGAACUCUCCCCUCCACCCACUCCCUCCACCUCCUUCCUUCAGCCGGGGCCGCGCCCACCCCCAUCCCGCCCCACCUCCCCCUCGCGGCGCCGCCCCACCUCCCUCCACGGCGCCGCACCACCACCAUCCUCCCCCGCGGCGCCGCCCCACCUCCCUCCAUCGCGCCGCACCACCACUACCCUCCCCCGCGCCGUCGCACCACCUCCCACCACCGCGCCGCACCACUAUCCUCCCUCGCACUGUCGCACCACCUCCCACCACCGCGCCGCACCACCACCUCCCCCCACGCCGCCGCCCACCUCCCACCACCGCGCCGCACCGGGAGCUCCCUCCCUCGCGCUGCCCGCCCCGGCCACCACGACGGAUCCGAGCAGCCCCCGCCAUCCCGCGCCCAACCGGUGAUGGAUCCGAGCUCCUCCUCCACAUGCCUCCUCCCAACCCCAUGCUGUUCAUCUCGAUGUAUCCCCCAGAUCCGGUGAGACCUCGCCCAUUCAGGUGGUGCGGCUCCUGGUGGGGAUGGGCCAGAUCGAGCCCGGCCAUCAACGGUGACCCCUUUCGGCCUAGAUACAUGGCUAGCGGCAGUGGCUGGGCCAGCCUCUCCUCCUUCCUCCCCUGGUCAAGAUCCAUGGUUCAUCCAUGGGGUUGUUCUGGCAUCGGCCAGGACGCCAGGUUGCGGUGCGGCACCGAUGCCAUGUUGUUCGGGGCGAUACAUGGUGUGGUUCAUAUCGCGCAUGCAGUUUGGAGCAUGGGAACAUGCAAUGCAAAAAUGUUGCGUUUUGUGUAUAAAAAAUACGAACUCAUUUGAAUGCAAUUCACGCCUAGACAUGUGUUCAGCAAAUGCAGUUUGGAGUAUCUGCGCAUGCAGUGCAGACCGUGCUUUUUGUGUUUGAGGAUUUUAUGUAUAAAAAUUACAGGAACUCGUUUGAUUGCAGUAUGCGAUGAAACAUGGUGAUGUUUAGAGUUCAGCAUGCAGUUUGGGCCAUGUGGACAUGCAGUGCAGAAUGGUGUUUUUCCGUGUUUGAUGAUUUUAUUUAUGUAUAAAAGUUAUAUGGACUCAUUUGAAAAUUGUUUACAAAGGAAGUUCAUUUUGAA